GAUCAUGGCUCAGGAUGAACGCUAGCUACAGGCUUAACACAUGCAAGUCGAGGGGCAGCAUUUUAGUUUGCUUGCAAACUGAAGAUGGCGACCGGCGCACGGGUGAGUAACACGUAUCCAACCUGCCGAUAACUCCGGAAUAGCCUUUCGAAAGAAAGAUUAAUACCGGAUAGUAUACGAAUAUCGCAUGAUAUUUUUAUUAAAGAAUUUCGGUUAUCGAUGGGGAUGCGUUCCAUUAGUUUGUUGG
rnacentral:rRNA from 1 species